rnacentral:rRNA from 1 species
GACGAACGCUGGCGGCGUGCUUAACACAUGCAAGUCGAACGAUGAACCCGGAGCUUGCUCCGGCGGAUUAGUGGCGAACGGGUGAGUAACACGUGAGUAACCUGCCCUUGACUCUGGGAUAACUGCGGGAAACUGUAGCUAAUACCGGAUACGACCCUCGGCGGCAUCGCCAGGGGGUGGAAAGAAUUUCGGUCAAGGAUGGACUCGCGGCCUAUCAGCUAGUUGGUGAGGUAACGGCUCACCAGGGCGACGACGGGUAGCCGGCCUGAGAGGGUGACCGGCCACACUGGGACUGAGACACGGCCCAGACUCCUACGGGAGGCAGCAGUGGGGAAUAUUGCACAAUGGGCGCAAGCCUGAUGCAGCAACGCCGCGUGAGGGAUGACGGCCUUCGGGUUGUAAACCUCUUUUAGUAGGGAAGAAGCGAAAGUGACGGUACCUGCAGAAAAAGCACCGGCUAACUACGUGCCAACCGCCGCCGUAA